rnacentral:rRNA from 1 species
CUUGAGGCGUGGCUUCCGGAGCUAACGCGUUAAGUCGACCGCCUGGGGAGUACGGCCGCAAGGUUAAAACUCAAAUGAAUUGACGGGGGCCCGCACAAGCGGUGGAGCAUGUGGUUUAAUUCGAUGCAACGCGAAGAACCUUACCUGGUCUUGACAUCCACAGAACUUGGCAGAGAUGCCUUGGUGCCUUCGGGAACUGUGAGACAGGUGCUGCAUGGCUGUCGUCAGCUCGUGUUGUGAAAUGUUGGGUUAAGUCCCGCAACGAGCGCAACCCUUAUCCUUUGUUGCCAGCGGUUAGGCCGGGAACUCAAAGGAGACUGCCAGUGAUAAACUGGAGGAAGGUGGGGAUGACGUCAAGUCAUCAUGGCCCUUACGACCAGGGCUACACACGUGCUACAAUGGCGCAUACAAAGAGAAGCAAUCUCGCGAGAGCUAGCGGACCUCAUAAAGUGCGUCGUAGUCCGGAUUGGAGUCUGCAACUCGACUCCAUGAAGUCGGAAUCGCUAGUAAUCGUGAAUCAGAAUGUCACGGUGAAUACGUUCCCGGGCCUUGUACACACCGCCCGUCACACCAUGGGAGUGGGUUGCAAAAGAAGUAGGUAGCUUAACCUUCGGGAGGGCGCUUACCACUUUGUGAUUCAUGACUGGGGUGAAGUC